rnacentral:tRNA from 5 species
GGGGGCGUAGCUCAGCUGGGAGAGCGUUCGGUUCGCAUCCGAGAGGUCAAGGGUUCGAAUCCCUCCGUCUCCACCA